rnacentral:rRNA from 1 species
UACGUAGGGACCAAGCGUUGUUCGGAUUUACUGGGCGUAAAGGGCGCGUAGGCGGCGUGUUAAGUCAGUUGUGAAAUCUCCAAGCUUAACUUGGAACGGUCAACUGAUACUGAUGUGCUAGAGUGCAGAAGGGGCAACCGGGAAUUCUUGGUGUAGCGGUGAAAUGCGUAGAUAUCAAGAGGAACACCUGAGGUGAAGACGGGUUGCUGGGCUGACACUGACGCUGAGGCGCGAAAGCUAGGGUAGCAAACGGG